rnacentral:sRNA from 22 species
GAAUCUAGUUAUUUCAAUCUCAGGUUGACGCAAGAAUCCGUAUGGAGUCUAAUUGUUUUAUACAAAAUGG